rnacentral:rRNA from 1 species
UCGGAGGCAGCAGUGAGGAAUUUUGCGCAAUGGGCGAAAGCCUGACGCAGCAACGCCGCGUGUGGGAUGAAGGCCUUCGGGUUGUAAACCACUUUCAGUAGGGACGAAACUGACGGUACCUACAGAAGAAGCCCCGGCUAAAUACGUGCCAGCAGCCGCGGUAAUACGUAUGGGGCAAGCGUUAUCCGGAUUCAUUGGGCGUAAAGAGCGCGUAGGUGGCUUGUUAAGCGAGAUGUGAAAACCGGGGGCUCAACCCGCGGCCUGCAUCUCGAACUGGCAGGCUUGAGUCUGGUAGAGGAGUGUGGAAUUCCUAGUGUAGCGGUGAAAUGCGCAGAUAUUAGGAGGAACACCAGUGGCGAAGGCGGCACUCUGGGCCAGCACUGACACUGAGGCGCGAAAGCUAGGGGAGCAAACAGGAUUAGAUACCCCCGUAGUCCA